UACGGAGGGGGCUAGCGUUGUUCGGAAUUACUGGGCGUAAAGCGCGCGUAGGCGGCUUUGUAAGUUAGAGGUGAAAGCCCGGAGCUCAACUCCGGAAUUGCCUUUAAGACUGCAUCGCUAGAAUUGUGGAGAGGUGAGUGGAAUUCCGAGUGUAGAGGUGAAAUUCGUAGAUAUUCGGAAGAACACCAGUGGCGAAGGCGACUCACUGGACACAUAUUGACGCUGAGGUGCGAAAGCGUGGGGAGCAAACAGG
rnacentral:rRNA from 1 species